rnacentral:tRNA from 1 species
UGGCUCAGUGGGUAAGAGCACUGGCUCUUCUUACAGAGAACCUGGGUUCAAUUCCCAG